rnacentral:rRNA from 1 species
CUCGUAGGCGGCCAACUAAGUCGGAUGUGAAAUUCCCAGGCUCAACUUGGGAACUGCAUCCGAUACUGAUUGGCUUGAAUCCGGGAGAGGGAUGCAGAAUUCCAGGUGUAGCGGUGAAAUGCGUAGAUAUCUGGAGGAAUACCGGUGGCGAAGGCGGCAUCCUGGACCGGCAUUGACGCUGAGGAGCGAAAGCCAGGGGAGCAAACG